UACGGAGGAUCCGAGCGUUAUCCGGAUUUAUUGGGUUUAAAGGGAGCGUAGGUGGAUUGUUAAGUCAGCUGUGAAAGUUUGCGGCUCAACCGUAAAAUUGCAGUUGAAACUGGCAGUCUUGAGUACAGUAGAGGUGGGCGGAAUUCGUGGUGUAGCGGUGAAAUGCUUAGGUAUCACGAAGAACUCCGAUUGCGAAGGCAGCUCACUGGACUGCAACUGACACUGAGGCUCGAAAGUGUGGGUAUCAAACAGG
rnacentral:rRNA from 1 species